ACUUAAAUUGAAGAGUUUGAUCAUGGCUCAGAUUGAACGCUGGCGGCAGGCCUAACACAUGCAAGUCGAGCGGUAGCACAGAGAGCUUGCUCUCGGGUGACGAGCGGCGGACGGGUGAGUAAUGUCUGGGAAACUGCCUGAUGGAGGGGGAUAACUACUGGAAACGGUAGCUAAUACCGCAUAACGUCGCAAGACCAAAGUGGGGGACCUUCGGGCCUCAUGCCAUCAGAUGUGCCCAGAUGGGAUUAGCUAGUAGGUGGGGUAACGGCUCACCUAGGCGACGAUCCCUAGCUGGUCUGAGAGGAUGACCAGCCACACUGGAACUGAGACACGGUCCAGACUCCUACGGGAGGCAGCAGUGGGGAAUAUUGCACAAUGGGCGCAAGCCUGAUGCAGCC
rnacentral:rRNA from 1 species